rnacentral:rRNA from 1 species
UACGUAGGGUGCAAGCGUUAAUCGGAAUUACUGGGCGUAAAGCGUGCGCAGGCGGCUUUGCAAGACAGAUGUGAAAUCCCCGGGCUUAACCUGGGAACUGCAUUUAAGACUGCAUAGCUAGGGUGCGGAAGAGGGAAGCGGAAUUUCCGGUGUAGCGGUGAAAUGCGUAGAGAUCAGGAAGAACAUCGGUGGCGAAGGCGCUCUGCUGGACCAUAACUGACACUCAGGGACGAAAGCUAGGGGAGCGAAUGGG